UACGUAGGGUGCGAGCGUUGUCCGGAAUUAUUGGGCGUAAAGAGCUUGUAGGCGGUUUGUCGCGUCUGCCGUGAAAAUCCGGGGCUCAACCCCGGACUUGCGGUGGGUACGGGCAGACUAGAGUGUGGUAGGGGAGACUGGAAUUCCUGGUGUAGCGGUGAAAUGCGCAGAUAUCAGGAGGAACACCGAUGGCGAAGGCAGCUCGCUGGGACGGUACUGACGCUGAGACGCGAAAGCGUGGGGAGCAAACAGG
rnacentral:rRNA from 1 species